rnacentral:rRNA from 1 species
GAUGAACGCUGGCGGCGUGCUUAACACAUGCAAGUCGAACGAUGAAGCCCAGCUUGCUGGGUGGAUUAGUGGCGAACGGGUGAGUAACACGUGAGUAACCUGCCCUUAACUCUGGGAUAAGCCUGGGAAACUGGGUCUAAUACCGGAUAGGAGCGUCCACCGCAUGGUGGGUGUUGGAAAGAUUUAUCGGUUUUGGAUGGACUCGCGGCCUAUCAGCUUGUUGGUGAGGUAAUGGCUAACCACGGCGACGACGGGUAGCCGGCCUGAGAGGGUGACAGGCCACACUGGGACUGAGACACGGCCCAGACUCCUACGGGAGGAAGCAGUGGGGAAUAUUGCACAAUGGGCGCAAGCCGGAUGCAGCGACGCCGCGUGAGGGAUGACGGCCUUCGGGUUGUAAACCUCUUUCAGUAGGGAAGAAGCGAAAGUGACGGUACCUGCAGAAGAAGCAACGGCUAACUACGUG